rnacentral:misc_RNA from 1 species
ACACCUCAACUCUCAUGGUUUACCAUGAUGAGCUUGGACUUUGGGGGUCUUGCUGGCCUGUGGGCCAGCUCCUCUCAAAUGGAUUAGCUUGCCAGUGUUUGGUGGCAUCACAGGUGUGAUAACUAUCUACGCUUGUGGUUUUCCACCAGGGUAACCUUCAGCAAUGGAGGUUCGCUGGGGCUUACGAAUGUCUCUCCUCAGCGAGGACAGCUCUUUGAAC